AAACUGGAAUCCCUGAUUUUGAAAGUGGAUAACUUCUUCAAUCCAACUCCUAUGAGAGUGAUUCAACUUCCUGGUGAUUCUCCACCACUUUAUGUAUCCAAAUCAAGAUUCUCAACAAAGUGAUUCAUCCUGGUUUGAUUGGAAGGACGAAGAAGCUGUGCUAUUCCCAACUGGGAAACGGGAAUCACCUGAUUUGAAAAUGGGAUAACUUCUUCUAAUCCAACUCCUAUGAGAUUUUAUUCAACUUCCUGGUGAUUCUCCACCACUUUAUGUAUCCAAAUCAAGCUUCACAAAGUGAUUCAUCCUGGUUUGAUUGGAAGGAC